CUUUGCUACUUGUGACCUUUUUAGAAUUAUUUCUUCUAACAAAAUAAAUUUAUGUAAAUGUGGAAUUUUCCAAGUUAGUUGAAAAAUGUUAUAUCAGGUUUUUAGAAAGUCCCACGCACACCAUGUCUAUAGUGCAUUGUCUCUAUCUUUCAGAUCAUAGAACGGCCUUCACUCGUCUUCGUUAUUGUAUACUUACUAUAGUGUUUUUCAUGCUUGGAUUUGUAAUACUGAUAAUUUAUUCAGGUAAGAUGUAGACCAAGGAAUCAGGACUUAAUUCCCAAACUAUUUUUGUAACUCGUCAGUACAGUAUAAGUUUUUUUUUAUAGAUGUAAACAAUAUCGUUUAUUGUUGAGAUAAAACAUACAAAACUAGGAAUGUCUUAAUUUUUUGGGGAUUUUUCACAGUAUUGGAGGGAAGAAUUAUUAUUAUAAUUUAUAUAGAGUCAACAUAUUUUCCAGCAUCUUACAAUUAUAAGAUAAUUUUUUUUUGCCUGUUUUUACUAUUUUAAACAUGUAACAUAUAUAAAUAAAACCAUUUAUGCAUUUACGAGUAACAUGACCAUUUCUGGUUUUAUUUCAGUUUGGUGUGUUCAGUCUAUCAGGU